AUUAUCUUGCUAGAAAAAAAGAGAUCCUGGCCUUCUAGCUGUCCCCAGCAGAGCCCCAGGCAUUCCAGUGAGGUUAUCUUGGGCAUACCAUGCCCAGGCUUGCUCCCAGCUGAAUGCAGCCAAGUAAAAGACCCCAGCAGAUGCCAUGUGGAAUGGAAGAGCCACCCAUCUGAGUUCAAUCAACACAGAGAACGGAGGGAUAUUGACCUGAAGGCACACUGUUCCCUCUUAAAGAAGCAAGAUCAACAUUCAGAAUCGCUCAGUGACAAAUCUCAAUUGGUGGAAGAACAGGUCACCCAUGGGCAGGAAACUCCGCUCCACACAAUUGUGGUGAGACCACACCUAGACGGCUGCGUGAUGUCUUGGGUACCUGAGUAUCCAAAAACUUGGACUGAGUUCAAAGGAGAUGAUUAAAGGAAUGGGGGAAUUGGAAGUGACUGACUGAUGAGAAAAGAUUAAAGGAGCCAAAUCAAGAAACCUGACAGAGCAAUAGCUAAGGGGAAAAAUGAUAAAAGCUACAAGUACCGGGAAUGUGCAAACACCAGAAAUUUAUAAGCCUACACCCUGGACACACUGAACUGAAACAUCUACCACAAAGUGGCAUCUAUUUCCGACCUUGCCAACAAUUUCAGCUUCCUGCUUACACUGUGCAGCUUCAUUUUAUGUCAAUAGUGGUUUCAUGCAGAGAACAAGAUCUAAAUGUGGAAAAGCGUUAAGAAACCAUCCCCCAAAUCGCUGUCACAUAACUUGAAGUGGAAGGGAGCCCAAAGAUCAGGAGAGAGGCACAGGAUCUGAAAGCUCAGUGGGAUCAGAUAGACUGUACUGGAGAAAGUUUUUCAAGAUCAAGUUCCUGAAAUGACAAUCACUCAUCCCUCCCUGAGAAAGAGAAAAUGCACGUGUGCUCACAGGAGCCUGCUAAGGGGUCUGGGGUUAUGCAGAAACAGUUCCUUGUACUUUUUUGUACUUCUCCAGGGUAUAUAUAUUUAUACAGAAACCUCCUCUUAUUACAUUAAAAU
rnacentral:lncRNA from 1 species